UACGUAGGUGGCAAGCGUUAUCCGGAAUUAUUGGGCGUAAAGCGCGCGUAGGCGGUUUUUUAAGUCUGAUGUGAAAGCCCACGGCUCAACCGUGGAGGGUCAUUGGAAACUGGAAAACUUGAGUGCGGAAGAGGAAAGUGGAAUUCCAUGUGUAGCGGUGAAAUGCGCAGAGAUAUGGAGGAACACCAGUGGCGAAGGCGACUUUCUGGUCUGUAACUGACGCUGAUGUGCGAAAGCGUGGGGAUCAAACAGGAUUAGAUACCUGGUAGUC
rnacentral:rRNA from 1 species